GGGAGCCCCACUUACUGCGCCGCGGUGGGGACGCGCCUGGGGAGCGCCCCGGCUGGGCGCAGCUCCUGCAACCGGGCUGCGGCGAGUCAGGUCGAGACGCGGCUCAUCGCAGGUGAUAGAAGAUAUGUACAGCUGACACAGGAGAGCCUCACUAUCCCCAGGACAAGCCUGGAGAGACUUCUGCAAAUGCCUGAUGGUAAGGGCGACCUAGGCCUUUGAGACUGGAAAUACAAAAUAGCAAGAAAGGAGAGUCACAGAAGUUUUAAUUCUGCACAGAGUAAAAUUGAAGUUCUAAUGCAAUGUUACAAUUCACAGCAACUACCGGAAGCUGUUUCAGUAAUAAGUACAGCAUGGGCAGUCAUUAUCUGGAAUGCUGAGAAACGCACAGGGGCAGCUGGUAACUUUGAGGACAGACUGUCACAGCGGAACAAAGAAGGUGACUUCAGUGAAUUAUUGACAUCAUAGUAAAUGGAAAUAAAGCUGAAAAUCUGCACGAUCCAUACAGAGGUUAAAAUAUUCAGGGUAGAACUGAUCAGCAAAAUUAACAUGGAAAUAAAGCACAUAGCAUAUUUAGUAAAAAGGAAGAAAAAUAAAACGAAUCAGAUAACAAUGAUGUUUUAUUUCAUAACAAAAACUAAUGAAUUUUUUCAUGUGAUCAUUAGCGGUUUGUUCUAAAGACAUUUUUCCAGUAUAUGCUGGUGUUCAUACUGAGAGUGUAAUUCUUCUUCAAAUUAAGAUUAGUUAUUAGAGAAAAAACAAAGUUUGUAAUGAAUUAAGGACAUUGUUUUUGUGUAUUUGUUUACACUGGGCAGCAUUUUACUCCAUACGUUGUACACUGACUGUAGUGGGAUUUCUGCUGUAUUAAAUGACACUUAGUACUAGCAGGUAUAUUAGAGUCUAAAUGUGUACAUACUACAAUCUCCAUUAAAUAGUUUUAACUAGUGAAAACUAUAUGGAUCUUACUUCUUAUCCCUCAUUUUUUAUCCAUUUCUCCAUCAUGUUUUGACUAAGCCUUAUCAAUGGUAUAUUGAGCAGCAGAUACAGUUUACUGUAUUCCUAUUCUCUUCUCAGAGGGAGAGUUGUUUACAUUUUACAGUGCUUGGUUUUGUAGGAUUUCUCCCAGGAAGAAUUCAGGGAUUUAAGAGAGAAAUAAACAAACUGAAACAUUUUUCCUAGAAAAUUUAAGGCUGAAGAGACGUGCUUUACAUCUGACAUGCAAAUUGCUAAACUUGCAAUGAUUAUUAUUUUCUGUAAAAAUCAUUUCACACUCUUUGGAAUGACCUACAAAAAAUUCCCUCCUCUAUAGAAAUACCCUACCCUUCUGUGAUAAGUUGGACUCUUGUGCUGAUACAUGCAUGAGAGCCUUGUAUUGAACAACAAACCUCAUUUACAACUCUUUGAUACAAGUUAGAUCUUUUUGAAUUGAAAGGUGCUAUUUUAAUAAAGUGUCUGAAGUGUUCCAUUCCUUUAAUUGAUUUCACCUACUUCAUGUGUCAUGUAAUUUAAUGAACUGCUAAACUUACUGAUAACAUUUCAGUAACAACAAUGAAAAUAAUAAACCAUUUACUUUCUCAUAAUGGAAAAAUAUUUUCAAAGGAAUCAGAAAUACAUGGUAAAGGUGAAAAGGACAAUAAAAAUAAUUUUAAUGAUACUGUCGCAUGAAAACCAGAACUUUUAAAUCCUCAUACGUCCUUGAGCAUUGCUCAGAAAAAAAAAAAAAGACUGCUCAACUAGUUUAUACAAUAACUCUUUAUAUAAUUAAAAUAGAGUCACCUACAGGGAGAAGCCAUACCAAAACAGCAUUAGAGUUGCAAAGUCAGGUGCUUAAAUGUGAGGAAAGUAAAAAUAAAAGCUCCCUGUGCAAAUUUGAUUCUGCCUUUUUUUAUGCAUACACAUUAUCAGACAGCUUUCAAUUACAUGUUUAUAUAGGCUUUUCCCUCUUUGGGAAAUCCUGCCUUACUCAAUAUUCUUUUUGUCUUCUUCUUUCAAUAUUUGAUAUCAGAUCUUAUUCAGCAUCUAAAAUGUAAGUCCUGCAUCGAAUAUAAAAUUAUCUAUUAUCUUCAUGGAUGGUUGUGCUGUGCUCUCACCAUAGCAUGUGAGUACUUCAUAAAAUUAGCUAAUCUAUGGUUUCCUACAAAAUUAAGUGCCAUUACUAUCCUCAUUUUGUAACUGGGAAAUUGAGACACACAAAGAUUAAGGUCAGAAUUGUCAAAAGCAUCCUCUAAUUUUGGAUGCCCAGCUUGUGAUGUCUGAUGCUUCAUUUUCAGAGUACUUAAUACUUUUAUCACACUUUUUAUCUUCAAAGAGCAGCUUUAAUUAACUUAAAGUGCAUCAACUUUAAGAAUGGUAUUUUACUGUGUCUCUGUCCAGGGACUUAAAAAAUGGAUUUAUGGCUCUGCAUUUGAGAGAUGAGGUAUGCUGAAGGUCACAAAUACGUGUUGACAGAAGAGGAAAGUGGUGCUUCAGUUUGUUCCAUGCUUUGGAAGGGAAUAUGCUCUGAUUGUUUUGGGCAUACAUUUGCUGGUAUGGGAUAGUUACAGAGAUCCUAAGCUAGUGCCACUUGAGCUGAAAUGUGCACAUCGUGCUAUAACAUCAGCAAAUAUAAGCACAGAUCCUGAAAGUGGUAUCUUUACAUCAGCAUGGUGCCACAUCUGCAGUAACAAGCCCUGACUUUUGGAUGGACUAAUUAACUCAUGCGUAGUAAUUUUAAUGGCAUAGUUGCUUUAUUUUGGAGCCAGCUCAAUUGUCACACUCCACUACAGGAGUAGCUGGCCCGUAGAAGUACCUGUGUCUGCUUUCCCUAGUUGUGACCAGUGCCACCCCUUUCCUUCCGUCUCGUUCCGGCAGGGUCUGUAGUGCUAUCUCCCACUUCCUCAUUGCAAGCUUCUGAGCCCAUUUUCAAUCAAUACCAGAGCUCAGGCCAACCUCUCCCAUUACAAUCAGAAUCUCAGAAGUUUAUCUGAUCUCCGUAUGCUUUAUUCUGUUUCUUGUCUCAGCCGUCCACUAAUGUUUCCUGGCUUCUUGCUCCAGUCAUGUGGAGUGACCGAGUCCAGUCCUCUGCCUGCCUACUCUUUCCCUCUUUCAUCUCUUCUUACUGAUUCCUUCUGACUCUAAAUCAAAUUCCUUCUCCUUCCCUUUCUGAAACAGCCCACUGGCUUCCACUCGGUUUCUUUCUGCUUGACCUGCUAGCUGGCCAGUUGGCAUGUGAAUUGAACGAAAGGAAUUUUAAUUUCUUCUUCUAGCUGCAGCCUCUUCAGAGCGUGCUACUAUGUCUCAGUAAAUCAUAGGGAUGCAUCUUUCUCUGCUAGGCAGUGCAAGAGGAGAGAUAGGAAGGAAAAAAAUAAUCAAUAAGAGGGAUAUCUAAGAUAAAAGAUUCUAGCCAAACAAUUAACAUUUGUCAAAGUUACAAGCAACAGAAAUCAGGGUCUUUUCAGGGGAGAUGCCAGUCAACAAUGUCUCUAUAAGACCUCUAAUGAAGACUUCAAAAUCACAGUGUUUGGGCAACUUACUCAAUCACAAUGUCCCAUAUUUAUGUCCUUUAUUUUUUAUGUUGAAGACAGCAGCAGAGAAAACAGAACCUGUGCAUAGGCUACACAAGAGAGUUCUUCCCCAGACAGGCUGCAAACUAACCAUGAAAAAGAUGCCUGAAAAUUCUCAAUGUAUCAAAAUGAAGUUCCAUGAAUAACAGAACUAAAGACUUGUAUUUUUUAGUGGAUUUGUGUCCCAUGUGAUGCUCCAUUUUACACAGUAAUCUCAGCUGCUUUCUCAAUGCCUCAUGCCUCAAGUUUUUCUCCCAUACCCUGCACACUGUCGGGACAAGACCAGCAAGACCAUGUGCUCCUUUUGACUGACUGGCCAGGCCAUUCAGGCAGGCCAAACACAGCACACUCAAGGCUUUGGCUGAGGAGGACCAUUAACACAGGUUCCUCUUCCCUGCCCAGAAACCAGUUUUCAUGAAAUUCAUACUAAUUUAAUAAGGUGGAUUUGGCAAGUUUCUGUGCAGUUGACCAGUGAAUUAAAAGUAAUGUAGGAGCAGGGAGGGGAGGAGGACAACGGACAGCAAACAAUAAUCGCAGACAGAACAGUCCUAAAGAAAACUAUAUUCAAAAAAUACUUGGGAUUAAAACUAGAUCACUGAAGGAAAUAAGAAAAAGCUUUCCAUGAAAUUAGAUUUUCAAUAGUUAUGACCAAGUUUCCACCUUUUAGGAGAUCAUUCCCAAAGUGUCGGCCUUUAGACUAUAGCUUAAUUUCUGCAAAGUAUGUGCUGGCAUCUGUGUUUAUAGUAGUAAAGUGUAGUCACACAAAGGAGUGGGAAAUUUGCUAAUGAAAUGGGAAAAAAGCCAAGAAGAUGUCUCAAUCCUUUUCUAACUUAGAGCAGAGCAGUGUAUCAGGGAAUUCCUGCUAAGGAAAUGGGGUAAAUGGGGUAAGUGGAGAAUCCUUUCUGAAUAAAUUAGUAAAGAGCUUAAUAACAAUGCCUACAUUUUAAUGUUUUUGCAGCCUUAAAUGGAAACCAAAGUAACUGAUCUGAAAGAUGAUGAUCUGUUGAUAACUACUGCCCCAACUUGCAUCCACUCUAAACUUAAAUUGAAACAGACUUCCUUAAUUAUGUUAGCACCUGAACAGUAUCAAUUAGUUUGAGCUGUAAAAACCUUACUGCUCUGAAAGACAUUCAUACCUUCGCAGCUUUUAUGAUUUGCCUGGAAGCAGUCUUCUGUUUGGCAAGUUUAUUCACAGAAAAGCUGUUACUGCAAGGAAAAGUGAUAGCAACAUAUUUUUGUAAUUGAAAACUUCACCAAGGAAGAACUUCUCUCCCUCCCUCUUCCUCUCCCUCUCUCUCUCUCUCCCUCUCUCCCUCUCCCUCUCCCUUCCCUCUCAAAUGAAUGCAGGCUUGAGGGAAAGUAUUUGCACUCAGCUACCAAGAUUUUUAUUUCCUCUCAAGAAAGAGUUUCUGUAAAAAGCCCUAUGUCUUCCUACUAUGGUACUUUAAAAAACUUUAUCAGCUUUGGGGGUUUUCAGUUUUGCUUUCCUUGCAUUUAUUUUUCUAAGAAUGUUAUUUGUUCUUCAAAUAACACCUUCUCCAAAAUAACACUGACUACAUGGUGCUGUUGGCAACGAGCCAAGAUAGGGGGGCUCUACUGAAGCAUACCACCUCAAAGUCCAUGGGAAGGACUUUGUUGUCUGCUUUCCAGGAUUGCUCUUCUCUGAACCCAUUACCACAUCCCUUUUUGGAGUACAGCUUGUUUUUCCUUGUGUGGAAAGCUGCCACUGUUGCAUGGUUUUGGGAAAGAUGAAACCAAGCUUAGGCUCUUCUUUACCUCUUUCUACAUCUCAAUUUAAGGUCCAUGCUGCUAGACUGUAUUAAUAAUAGAGUAGCUCCAAUGUACCCUAAAGUUAACUGCUGUGUUUCUGUUUGACCUAAUGGAGGCUGUGCAAGAUUGGUUCCUGUGCCCCUCUCCCUGUGCUCCCGCAUACAGAUGUGCCUGACCCAUAGGAAAGGAUCACUAUGUGGGGGGCAUAAGUGAAUGAUACUUUUCCCACAAAUAUCCUGUGGUAUCUUUCCUUUUCUAUGUUUCUACACAAUGAGUCACUAAGCCUGUGCACUGAUAUGUAAUUGGCCUUUAGUGCACUCCUCUGCGGAGUCCUGUAGGAUUGCUUUCAUCAUUGCUAUGAUUCAGUGUGAAGGUAACCCCCCCCUAAAACUGGUGAGAAACAGUGGUAUUAUUAGCAUGCCAAUGCUCAGUUUGAGUUGUUGCACAAUAUGGGUGUUUUUUCUCUCUGUCACUGCUAAGGAUUUGUCCAAGCUUGGUCCCAGCUUUAGUUCAAUGUCCAGUGCAGGAAAGAUUAAUGAAAGGAAAUGGCUGACUACAUAUUACUAUGUACAGUUAUUUCUGAGAUCUUGUGCAAAAUGCCUGAAGAAUUCUGCAUGUUUAGUGAGUGCUCACUAUUGAGCAGCUAUGUGUUAUGGAAGUUUAUCACAUUUGUAGCAUGGAAAAUGUUUUCUCUCUGUCUUGACUCUUUGCAUGUAUAAGUACAAGCAUGGAAAUCUCACUUCUCCACCUGAAUCUUUUAGAGCCGCUAGAAUCUUGAUGCGUUGUCAGGGUCUGAUAUACUCAUUGUGUCCAGGAUGUUGACAGAUGUGACAUGCUGGAGCUUGGAAUUUGUUCCUGGAAUACCAGGUUGUUGGAAUUCAGCAUCGUUCUGUUCCUGAUCAUUUUGCCCAAUAAUGGGAAUUCAAAGACAAGACAGAGCUUGGAAAAAUACUUUAAGUCACUAGAACUACCUCUGUGCUGCUCACUGUACUGAUUCGUGGAGAACUGGGCUGAUGGUUACAGUCUGAGCCUUUUGACAGGACUUGGAUAAAAUGAUUAGGAUGGAAUUUUUAUUUGAAUAAUUCCGUCCCUGUGUAAAUAUCUGUAACUUCCUACACUUGGGUCUGGAUUAUAGGAUAUAUUGUUUCACUGGUUUGUGUAAUAAAAAUAGAUUUUUACAGAUCUAUAGAUAUACAACUCCAUUCUAUUUUUGAUAAUUGCAUAAUUCAUUAGUAGCAGCUGGUGAUCUCAGUCAAAGAGAGGGAGUAAACAACUCUGAGUCUGUGGCAGUAGAAAACAGUCACUAAGACUUUGACCAUUAUUGGAAUAGUUUUUUUCCCAUUGUGAACUGAACUCCUGGAGAAUUCUGAAGUUUUGGAAAUAGCGAGAAUUCCCAGGUAUCUCCUCUCAAUGCACAUAGAAAGGACUGGCUUUUUAUCCCACUUCAGGCUGAUAUUUUGAUUUACACCAGAACUGGUAAAAGUUACAAAGCUUGACUUAUUGUAGAAAUGUUUUAUAGCGUUCCUUCAGAGAUCUAUUUGUGAUGAUUUUGGAAUGCUGAUUAGUUGUUAUUUUGAAAAUACAAAAUUCUGAGUUACGUUGAUUGACUGAUUACUGUGAUCUUUUUGUUUGCUCAGUUCUUAACAAGGCCACAGAGAAAUAAUGUUACCUGCCCAAACAAGAUGAAUGUUCUUAUUAACUUCAGAUGAAGUCAACAUAAAUAAGGCCUGUUCUUUAGAGUAGAGUUUUAUGAAACUGUGUUCUAAUUGGCUGUGAUAGCAUAGUAAUGAAAAAACAAUACGUAAAGUUUGAUAAUAGAUCAAAUGCUGUAAGGAAUUUAAUGUAUAUAUUCACCAUAUGUCAUCCUGUCUGCUGCAGCUGGCAUCAAGUCAAAAUAAAAACAUGGAUCUCACCAAAUUUCUGCAUCAGGUCCUGUGGCCUCAUACCCAUUUGUCCUCUGAAAUGUGAUUGUAUACCCCUGUGUGACCCGGGACAAGUCUGUCUUGUUCAGUGGUGUGGUAAAGCAUGUUUCUGGUAUUAAGCAUGGAGAAAUCACAGCCUCGCUUAUUCCCUUACUUGUGCUCUCUGUUGUAAAUACUAACUGGGUUUUAAUUCUGCUUACAAGCUAAGAAACAAGCUGGAAGAAACAUCUCAAGCACAGCAGCAUAUCUAAGCUCAAGGAUUUUUACCAUAGCCUGAAGUGUUUGAAGGGCAAAUAGUACAAAGGUAGUUAGAUGUUUUUAGGAGUUUAGAACCAUUUUUAUAAGUGGUGAUAAAAGUGAUCAAAAGUGUAGUUUGCUGUCUCCUUAAUACAAUCUGAGAAGUCAUGCUGUUUUAGAUAUAAUGGAUCCUUGAGAUUUGUUGCAUCUACAAAGGCCAAUGUGUGAUCUAUACAAUGAAAGCGUGGGGCUAAAGGAUACUGUGUUUUGUUUCAUUUUUAAUUUGGCAGAAGCUUACAUUGCUUUUAUUGCUGGUAUAAGGCUGAAAUAGUGUUCAGGUAUUGCUAAGAAAUAAAUUUAUUCUGCAAGUGAAACUUGUAUGAAGUAAAGAACAGAGAAAGAAUAUUUCUGGCACAUGAAGUGUUUCCCAGUUUAUUCUGACAUUUGAUAGAAUUGUGUAAAGUUGGCACAGGCUUUAGGUUUUCUCUGAAAUCAGAAGAACUAGCUACCAUUUUCCUUGAACUUUGAAACUACCAUUCAUAUUCCUUAAAUUUUGUGAUUUCAGUAAAAAAAUCUAGAAGACACCCUCCUGGUGACAGGAAAAAAAAAAACUUUAUUAAAUAUUUUUAGACAAAUAAUUUAAUUCACAGCACAUCUGUAAUUUUUAAUGUUAGAGGUCAAGGAGGGGUGUGUGUGCAAGUCAAGGCAUAGAGAUACCUGGCAGCAUUUAAUAAGGUUCCUGUAAUCCAUGAUGGCAAAAGACUAACUAUGUAAAUGGCAUAUGGUUACACAGAAUUCUGUAAUUAAUCCACUAGUCAAACUAGCAUAUUAUCUGACUUGGAAUAUUAGCUGAUAUCUUUUGAGGACCUCAAACAAAACUUAUCUGACAUACUAGUCUGGGCAGCAAUGUCAACUCAUUCCCAUUGCAAUUAGGGAGUCAUAUAAUAUAAAUUAUUGCUGUUUUGUUUCCCAAUAAAUAGGGAUUAGCAAUUUCAGUCUAGAGCCUAUAAAGAUGCCUUAAUGCCUUCUCUGCUUCUUAUUUUUCCGUGAAGCUUAAGUUCUGAUUCGGAGGCUUCAGUCUCAGCAGUGCCCGUCACUCUUGCACCAAGAACCCUGUUGGUUAGUUCACCAAGCUCAUGGGCAUGUUCAUUUCUGAAUUAGUUUUACUUCCUCUAAAGGUAGGCCUGCGAUGCACAGACUUUGAAGGCUCACUGCAUGCUCUGAAGACAUACCUAAGCUAGUUUAACACCAACUAGAAUGGUAUUGGCACUCAGGUGGUAGCAAUGUAGUGCGGCAGUAUGAAGCUAUCUGUUGGCUGACUUCGAAAAUAUUUAUCUGGCUUUCCUGGUGUUCAGAUAUGUCUACACCAUCUGCAGGCACACCUGUAACUGCAGUAUGAACAUGUGCUCAAGCCAAAAUUCUCUCCCACAGCCACUCCUGUCAGGGAGGCAAUGGGAUACCAAUUCUAUCUAAUACCGACUAGUAGGACCUUUCACUCAGGUAACAUUGCAAAAAAUAGACAGGAAAAUGCCCUAGAGAGAAUAAUUGUGUUUUCAUCUAUUCAGCAUAUAAAGAACAUCAAUAGAAGUCCCUCUCAGGAGUUGUAACAAAAUGGAGAUUGGUAGUGGGACAGAGAAGACGCAGAGUCACUAAUUUUAUUACAAAAAUUAUUAAAAAGGAGAGGGAAUGUUAUGGGUCAUGAGCCUUUAACACUGAAAAAUGAACAAACUCAGAUCAACUUUAUACAUUACCUUCUAGUCAGCAAAUCAUUUCAGUAAAAUUGUCCAUUAACCAAUUAAACAGUAACAAUUAUAAUAAUGGCUUCUGGGACAUAAUGCAUAACAUUUAACAUUUUAUGAAACAUUGUAAAAGCUAUUAUGCUCAGAAAAACAAAUUCAACUUAAAAAAAUAGAAACACUAGAGUAUUCAACUGCCAAUAAAUUUGAGAAAUGCAGAAUUGUAUAGUAGUUCCAAAAAAACCCUAGAACUAGCCUCUCUCAUACCAAUAAGUCGUAUUGAACUUUUGACUCAUAAGCAAAAUACACAGAAAGUAAAAAUUGCUGAAUUCCAACAGUAGGUGAUCCUCAUCAAAUUCAUGGGUUUCACGAUGCUGGCACGUAAGAGAGAACAUUAUAAUAGUGUGGAAAAGUGAACAUUGUCUAGCUAUGGACGAUAUCAUUUUGUUUAUUAGACUUUGCUGCAGCUUUUAAUCCACAUGAUUUCAGAUACUAACCCAGCAACAUAUUACUUGAACAAGAUGAUGCAAUGUUAGCCAAAUCUUCCAACAGAGCACAGAGAAGCGAUGGAUAAUAGACAGACAAAAUACUACUUAAAGAAACCUGUAAACUUCCCUCCUUCAAAAUUUACAUGAAACCUGUUGGACAUGAAGGAUGACAAUGUAAGCUGCAGUGUGAAUGGUUUUCAGAUGUAUUUGUCAUUUUUUAGUGGUGUAACCACUGCCGCUAAAGAGAUACCGCAAAGACUUCAAGAAAUAAUUUUCUUGAAGAGGAGCAACUGUCAGAAUCUUAAAUUGUCCAUAUUCCCUUUUGAACUUAUAAUAAGGAGGUUUUUAUGGGUGUUAUGAUAGAAGCACUACUUCCUGCCUUCUAGUGCUAAGCUCUUCACUGUGGUCAGUCCAAUUUUGCUGUUUCUGGAAUAGACAUCUUAUGUUCCUGCAUCUCUUAGGUGCUUAGAGAUAAUCUUAUCUGCCAUGUAUGUCUUCUUGAUGUCCAAGUAGAUAUUCUGGACAUAUUCAAAGCUUCAAAAUGAACAGUGAGGCUUUCCAUAUAAACCAGUGUCUGACAUAGAUUAAAGUAAGGGUCCUUUUGCUCCUGCAAUCAUUCCUCUCAGUGUCUUCUGCUACUGCAGUUCUUACUGUUAAAGAGAACUUAUCCACCAGCACUUCUAAGCAUGCUGAACUGCUUGUAAAAAUCUGAUAUGUGCUGAGAAGAAGGAGAACAGAUGUGUGAUGUCUCCUUUGCCAUUGGAGGCAGGGUAACAGAGUCAAAGUACAUAAUGAAGGGGAGUGGAAAACUUGACAGUGCUUGCAAUCAGUGAUAGGCACCUCCCUGUAAUUGCUAGAAAAGCCCUAGAGCUGGGGAAGAUAUCAUAGCAACAGAACAUAAUGCUGCUAUCUUUAAAGUGCUUGUUUGCAGUGCAGUAAAGACAUGAACUAGAUUGACUACAUAUUAAGCCAUAUCUGUGGCAAAAAGUCCGGAAGAGGACAAAAGCACAGUAAGAGUGGAAAAGACUAACCAUCUGCCCUCACCUGCUCUGGGAAGAAAAGGAUUGCAGCCCUGAGAAGCACAUACCUGUAAGGGCUUCCUGAUGCAGUGCUUUUUCCCAGCACUGCUUUUUCUCCUCUCCUGCUUUCCCCAUAGCAUAGGCAACCAGAGCAGCCAGCUGUCCUGACCAGACUGUGGCAAAGGCUCUGUGUUCAGGGCUUCAGCAGCAGACAGGAGUUGCCAUAUUGCGAGCAUGAAAGACUCCCUCUAUGUCCUGCUCUUUGCAGUACAUGUUCUCAUCUUCCUCAUCAGCUACAGAGGGAUUUGUAGCUGAUCAGGAAUUGUAGGGAAAUCAAGGCUCUCAAUAAAAUUAUAUUGUCUAAGGCAGAGAUGACCAGCUAGUGGUCCAAGGGUCGGACUCAUCCAACAUGAAUCAGCAGGCCAGUGACAUUCAGGAUACUGCUGUGUUUGUGUUGCUAGGAGAGAAGUACAAACCUGAGCUGUGUGACAGGAUAUACUAGAUGUGUUAGACACUGUCUGUAUUGAUGAGACCCAUGAAAAACAAGUGGCCCUGAGCGCAGAGGAGUUGGCCAUCCUGACCCAUAAAGCAUGCACUGUAAGACCAGCACUCCUGAAUCUCACCUCUGAAAACAGAGAAAUGAGACUGACUUCACUUGAUUUGUUCCAGAUUUACUAUGUUGUAAAUAUAUUCAGAUUUUUGCCUCAAAAGGACAGAUUUUCAUGACCCAUUUUAUCUUCCUCAUUUUGGGCACCAGGAAAUAGAUAUUCUGAAUGAGGUAAGAAUCCUUAGGGAGUGAUGUUACCUCUUCAUUCAAUCACAUCCUGUAUGUGUGCAUAUGAUGGGUCAGAAUAAAAUUUUUCAAUGCAAGAUCACCUUGCUGCAAACAGCAUGUGCUCUAAUAGUAAGAAUGGAAGUCAAAGAGCUGUAAGCAUCUGAUGAAAUGUUUUCAGGAUUAAAAUGUGUAGGCAGUUUAGUUAUGGCUAUCACUCCCUCUUUUAGCUAUUACAUCUACAUGUACAUUUGUCUCUCUGCUUAGAAGACUGUGUGCACCCACAGGGACGUGUGUCUGUGUUUACAACCACCACACAUUUAUAUAAGCUUUCAAAUCCAUCCUCAGAUUUUACUACACAUCCACAAAGCAAGAAUGGUGGGUUCUUGCUCAAGGCCCCUUCUUUCAAUAGUUGACUUGUACCACCUUCAAAUCCUGAAACCAUCUGUCAUGUUGCAUCUCAAAUAUCUCAAAGCCCACGUUUCUUUCCUACUAGUAUUCUGCCACCAGUUAGCCUUGGGGGCAAGAUAGGACUGAUAAUUAAAGCUGAUAAAUAAUUGAAACAAAAAGAAGACCCCUCACCCAAAUAUUAACAUCUGCAACCAUGAGUAUACAUUAAAGCAAUAUCUCCCAAACAUUGCUGCCUGACUUUAUCACCUCAGUUUUUUCACCACCCAGAGAUCUCACAGGAUGACACUUUCAUGUGCUGAGUUAUACCAGGUACCAUCAGUGCACUGUUAUUUAUUUUCUUAUUGGUAGGUAGGAUCUUAGUCACAGGCCUACCACUAGACAGGGAGUAAAGUGGGAAACAUGCACAAAGAGUUCUCAACCUGUAGCUAUUUACAUAUCAAGCUUUAGCAGUGUGCAUAGCCCCAUUAUUAAUCAGUGUGAUGACUCAUGGUAAUAAGUUCAGUGUGUACAUGAGUCGCUCCCCCAAUGAGGGUUGUAUCUGUUUUAGACUGGAAGUUAAUUGGACAUGGUUUUUACCUUCUUUUAUGUUUGUGAAAUAGAGUGCAUAUGUCUAUGGGGCUGUCAUGCAGCCUAAGAGUUACCUGUUUGUGGAAAGAAGGUGUGGGUGAGUUUUGUACACACUAGGGUGUGUUUUUAAUUUUGUAAGUGUCUGUGUAGAGUUUUGCAUAUCUCAUCACCUCACCCUUCCUUUUAUCUUCCUUCUCUUGUUCUUUUUCUUCUUCCCAGUCCUUUCAUUUUCCUGCUUCUUUUAUCUGCUUUGCUUCCUUCCUUCUGUCCUGCCGGAACAUCAUCUGCUUUCAUCUGUCAGACCCUCUUCUCACUCACUCUGCACUCUUCUCCUGAACACGUAUCUCCAAGCUAACUCUCUUCUUUAUAAUCCACAUUAAUAAUCCCACAUCCGUACUUACUUUGGUCUUUAAUCCUGUGUUUUGGCUUGCUGUAUUAAGGCUGUUGGCUCUUUUGGGAAGGGAAAAUGCCUUAUCUGCUAGUACAGUACUGUGCACAAUUCCCUGCAAAUACUUUGAAACAACAAAAAAAUGAUCUUGCACAGAUCUUUUUUUUAUCCAGUACUUGUCUGUCCUGUUCCAUAACAUAAUAUAACCUGAACUCAGGUAAUUAUUUUUAAAACCAACUGUUACCCAAGAAGAAACUACUCAGACAUUAGCUGGUGAAGACAAUUCUUUAUAAUAUCCAACAAAAAUACUGUAUUUCUGUUAAAAAUAACUAUGAGCUUGGUUAUUUCUUCCUGAAAUAAUCUCCUAAUUGCAUUCUUCAUAGAGAAAAACCCAGUGUGCCCACUAUGAACAGAGUGUAUUAAUCUCAUCUAUGGGAGGUAAUGAGAGAUAGUAUCCAGACUUUUGUGAUUUGAUUGUGACAGUACAGUCACUUGUCUUGUAUGGCAAGAAUGACACAAAAUGAAUAAUUGGAAAACUAUAAUCUUUUCUUCAUAUUGGUUUGGCAGUCUCCAGGCUAUAAUCAUCUUCAAAAGGUACUACUAAUAAAUGAACAUUCAGAGUUACUUUUGGCCUUUUUAAUGUGCUCAGGUACCUGACAAGUGAGCCAGUUGGCAUAUUUUUGCAAUAUUUCAGGUAGGUUAGGCCUGUCAAGUUUAAUACUAGUCAGAUAUUACUUCAAUUCAUAUUCUGACUAGUUCUGAAAUUUAGGAUCAUUUUUCUCAAUAUGUUUGCCUUGUCUUAAAAGCUUCAUAUCCAUCUCAAUUUAAAAACAGAGGAGAAAUAUGAACUUAGAGAACUCUCCUAAUAGUCUAAAACUUUAGCUAUAUGACAGAACAUAGGCAAUGAUUUAUAAAUGAAGAUGUUACAAAUUGUGAUCAAUAAUAACCCCCCACUCUCCAAAAAAUAACAUAAAAUCCUCACAUUUACAGUAGACCUACUUGAAUGACUUCAGUUGAAUUUUCAACAUAGUUUUUCAAAAUAAGUAAUAUUUUCUGGAAAAAUGUCAAUAUUUUGAUGUUUCACUAAGAACAAUAAUUUUUUUUCAGAUCUUAGCAGCUAAAAUCUGCCUUUUCUCACCCUUCCCUCUGUUCCAACUUGGGGCUUUAAUCUUUCAGCAGAAAUGAAUUCUUGAACAAAAUUCCAACAGUUUUUUUUUAAUUUUUGUCUAAUUUUGUAAUCAACAGAAGUUUUUUAUUUCUGCUCUGCUGAACAGAGACAAAAGAGAAAGAAAAAUGUCAGGAAAAUCAUGUUACUAUACAGACAGAUGACAUAGUUGUGUAUAUAAUUGCUGUCAGCUCAAUCUGAUCUUUAAGUUUCUUUCUUGAAUAGACAUCCCUGGUAUCUCUGAGAUCAGACUCAGCUGUUAAAUGAAGCUUCUUUAUCUCCCGUGGCAGUGUGAAAAUGUAAAUAUGGAUAUGAAAUAUGAGAGCAUGAAAAUAAAACUGGAUUCUACCACCUUCUACUAUACAAUCUCUUUGAUGGAUCUGGUCCCCUUUUCUGGGGAAACCUGCAAUGGUGCUAAUCCUAUAUGUCUUUUUUAGACUAUAGAGAGGUCGCUUUCACUGAAAAGCCCCACAUAUAUGUGCUGCCUGACUUUUCUUACUCAAACAGCAGCAAAUAGUAGUGAAGGUUAGCCAUCUUCCUCCCCUUUCCAUCCCAAAGUUUGAACGUGCAAUUCAUUUUUUCUUUCUCACUUCUGGCCUCGAGUAGGAAGUCUCCAGAGACCACAGAAAUCCAUAAAAUGGCUGAAGAGUCCUCAUCAUUUGAGGAAAGCCCUAGGCAAUUACAAUGUUUGAGGUAGGAAUGCAAAUAUGGAAGGAACCAAGCAUGAUGAAAAGAUGUUUCAACUUGCCACGUGUUAUAAUGGAUGCCACAAAACUUUGGGUGGCUCUGAUACUUAGCUUUAAUGAGAAUUCACCUUUCGUUUGUACUGAAUACACAAUACUAUUAAUUGAAGACCGUGAAGACCUGGUGUUUUUUCAACGUGUAGAAUUCUUGUGAAGAAUAUGAAAUUAUUUUAGAGAAAGAAAAACAGUCAAGAAGAAUCUGCAUGAUACAAACAGAUUUAUUUGUGAUGAACAACAAACUGCUGCUAAAAAACCAGACUCCUGCUAAAAAUGGUAAUUAAAAAUGGUCUGCUAGCUCUGACUUCUGUGGCUGUUCAGCUGGGGUUGUCUGAUUUAUAUACUACACUAGCCCUUCAAACAGCUGCUUGUAGUAGACUGAAUCACUAGGGGAGAUUACACCUGUCACUUGCCCAGUACCCCUGGGGAUAAGAAGUCAACCAAAGAAGGUGGAAUUUAAGCACAGUCAAGGUUAUUCCUUUCUUUCCCAUUGCCGCAUCUCUACCUGAUUCUGAACGCCACAGACAGACCUGGCUCCAGGCGUCAUGACCAGGCGAGGAGUCUCCCUUGCAGGUACAAGGUAUGGAAAUGAGUGUGCAACUGAGUCUCCUAGACAUCUACAGCAUAAUGUAGACUCCUUCAGCUUGUGUUAGGUACAGGGCAAAGGACCUGACACAGAGCCACUCAUGAGCUGGUGUGUUGAUCCCCUCCCCAGCCAUGCUGAGCAUUCAUUUGAUGUAGAUAGGUGAAGGUUUGGCUAUCAUUCUGAUCUGUCAAGGCAUUUGCCUUUUUUUUUUUUUUUUUGGUGACUGACAUCGUUUUUCAUAUAGCGAUAUGAGUUACUCACUUUUAGUGUCCAUUGGACCCUUUAACAAGAAAUGUCUUCCUUCUUUCCAGAAAACAAGCAAUCAGAAAAUCUCACACGUAAGUCCACAUCAGCAAAUGGGUUCUCAGAGGGUCAGGAUGUUCAGUUCUGCUCUCGCUUACAACCAUCAGAAUGAGCAAUAGCCUUUACUGAUGUGUAAAAUUAGUGUGAAGUAGUACAGAUUAGUGCCAAAAAACGUACAAGCUGAAAGAAAUUAUUAGGUCAUCUUGUCAUCUCCCUGCAGUGCAGAGAGAACCUUACCAUGUAUUUAUCCGUUAAAUGAGAAUGGCUGGUUUUAAACGUGCCAAGGAAUGUAACUUUUCUGCUCCCCCAUAAUAGUAUCCCACAUUUCCAUUCAGGUAGAUUCUCCCACAGAACCUCUAAAUUUCCUUUUCCAUCAUUUUUUCCUGUUUAGCUGUUUUUCCUAUGUUUAAGUUAAAUUAGUCCCUCUUCCUUCAUUUUACUUGUAGAUAUGAAUGCAGCUGAUCUGCAGCCGUGAGGCCGAUCCUAUCUUCCUCACCUGCACUUUGCCUACAUCUCCCAAGUGGCUCAUGUGGGUUGAAUCUGGAGCACAGCCUUGUAGGGACAGAGGGCAAGGGGACGUGUUUGCACAGAAAGAUACAGUUUUUGGGCUAAGGUGCAUCUUGUCUUUGGUCUCAGUGUUGCCAAAAUGUCAGCAGAUAAGUAGGAAGCAAGAGCUCAGGAGAUCCAGUGUCUUGGGACAUCUGACACCAUACUGGUAAAUACACUCUCAAUUUGUAUCUUCUGAGUAUUUUAGUCUCUCUGUCCUGCCCUAUAUCUUACUCUUUCUCAGUAAAAAUAAGCACCCUGCUUCUCUGAACCUUUUCUCGUUAAUGAAUCCCUUUCACAAGUGGUGAGAACUUCAGCUGGACUCAACAUUACAGUUGUGGUCUGUGUUGCAAACACAAUUACUAGAAUUCACCGAUCCAGGCAUUGUUCUUUGACACUUCCACUCCCCAGGAAGCCCAACUGAUGCUAAUGGGACUAUUUACGUGGCAACUGCAUGUAUAUUUGUACAGGCGUGAACUGUUUUACAUGGACAAAUUUUACCUGUCGUCUACAACAUAUGUGACUGUUCCCACAAAAUGAAAUGCUGAUGAUGUUUCAAGGGCCUAUGGAACAAGUUCCCAUGUAAGUAUGGUUCACUGUAGGAUGUUCAUAUUUUUCUUGGCAAAAACUACUUUUUAGAAGUCUAAGGCACCAUCUACAAAUUGCUGCUUUGAACAAAGUCACAACAGGUAUCUAAAUAGCAAGGGGGACAUUCUUUCUUCUUCCCUUUUGUCCCUGUUUCAUCUUCCACUUUUUUUUUAUCUCUCCAGACUCAUUUCCUAACGGGAUUUCCCAUUCUAGCAAUGUGUCUGCCAAAUGUGCGAUGUGUGUGACACCAGGAAAGAGAGUUUCCUGUUUCCUUUGAUAUACACCUGGCUUUGGUGGAGAUCUAUAAUGAAGUGUGCAUAUAACUAUUAUUAACACUUAAUAAAGAAACACCUUGAUGCACUGGAAUCUCUGAAAAUUGGUAUGAACAGAUACAAAUACUUUGUAUCCCAGUUUUUCCAAGGCCAAAAUCUGUUUAAAAUCAUCAAAACUGUAAGACCUUAAUACUUUGUUUAUGCUGAUGAAACUAAAUUCUUACAAUGGCUUCUGAGAAUCUCUCUGCACAGAAUCUUACACCCAUGGAUACCUUGCCAUCCCUCCCAAGAUUACUUUUGUGAAUACAAAUAACAAAAAGUUGUAAGUUAUCGAUACUCAUUCUGAUCCUUGGCCAGCAUGGCAAUCCCCGAGGAACAAGAAAAAUAAAAUUUUCUUACUGUUCUCACUUCAGGCGUUGAGUCGGUACAAAUGUGUACCCUGUUCCCCACUGUACAAGGCUUGUCUUCUGGAGGCGAGAAUUACACUGUUCUCCAAGAUGUGUAUCCUGAUGCAGCAUUUGGCCCUCUGGAUCUAGGAACAUGAGCUAAAUCUGUCUGCUGAGAAGAUGUAUGCAAUGCUACUUUGCCAGGCAUCGCUAUAAGAGGCAGUAUGAAGACUUGUUAUUGUGGGGUUCUUCUAGGAACUGGAUUCUAGUUCUUUAUCUGCUUCUUCUGGGAUAUUGGUUGAGACCACAGACUGCAUUUCUGGCAACACUGACUCAACUUGGGAGGAGCUUCAGAGAGUCCCAGCAUAGGUUGACAGAGGGUACGUGCAUGACAAGGAAUCCAUGCUGGAAUCCAUGAAGACCAAGUGCAGAUUGACGUAGAGGGCAGAGGGAGACAAGAAUGGGUUUUGCCCUGCUCACCCACCAGCACUGCCUGAUACGGUAGUGCUUCCCAUUAUAGAGAUAAUCCCUCUCAAAAGCAAAUGUACAUGGGCAGUGACUGAUGGUGGUUCCAAGCACUUAACAGAAAUUGAAGAGCAAGAAAUGAAUUAUAAAAAGGAUACCUGUUUGCAUGUCUAAAAUACCUUCCUCAAAACGUCAGUUCUCAUUUUCAGAAUACAGAAAGAGUUAUAAUGGAGACUGACGAGAGAAAGAUAAUACUGGAGACAGCUAUUGCGUUUGAUGGUGACACUGCAGUUCACAAAAGCUUUAACUCCAAGGAGAUGGAGGCACUCAAUUUUCAGUGGAGUUUCUCCACUGUGGAACAUACUGCCAGAGCUUAAGCUUGUCCUCGAAUCUAAUGGAGCAUUCAGCAAUAGACCACUUUCUGCAAGCACCUUGCUAAUGACAAAGUUGCUUCUGGAAGCAUGCUGUGGGAUACACUGUGCUGUGGAUUAUUUCCUCUUGAGGAAGAGAAGAAAACAAGCAAGUUCCUCUGUUGACAAAAGGAUCCAUUCAUCAAGUUGUCAUAAGGAGACAAUUCUGGUAGCUACACAUUUAUGAAAUACAGAAUAUUCAAAGGAACCUAGGGUAGCGGGUUCCCUUUAAGCUUCUUUGAAAAUCAUACUGUGUUUUUUUCCUCAUGUUAAAUACCUUUGUCAUUAUAUUUUUCAUUAUUUGAACAAAGAGGAUUUCACCUUUUCCACAACUUCAUUUGGAGGUGUUUUUUAAAAUUAUCUCUAUACUGGGUGUUUUACACUGAUCCUGAUAUUUCAUGCUAUUUUCAAGAUUUUUUUUUUGUAUAUUUCAUAUUAUUUUGCAUAUUUAUUUUUAAAAAUAAAAACUCCCUGUUUAAAAAUGCAUUCAGUUCAUACAACUGGUCAUAUUUAAAUUGUCCACAAUGUUGAAACUAUUAUUAUUUUCAGUUCUUUGUCUCAUCUUAAAUUCAUGGGCUUGCUCUAACAAAAUCUUUCAAAAAAUGAUCAAUACAACAGCAGAAUUGUUUUUAUGGAAAAAUGUCUUUUUAUACUUUCUGUGUUUUAAGAAAGUUGUAUUGUCUGUAUAUACUUAUAGAGCAUAACCAGUUUUAUUACAUGAAAUCACCUAUUCCACGCAUGAAUUUAAUUCUUAUGAAAUUUUAGUGGUUUAUCUCAUGGGGGAGAAAGAAAUAACAAGAAGAUUUACAGUCAAAUGCUUGUUGCACUUGGUCUUGUCCAGAAACAUAAAAUGAUAGGCCACAUCCACCUGGGUGCUUUCUUUUCUCAUUUAUCCCAUCGAGUGAAACAAAGUGACAUAUGUGAGCCACACUAAUAAUGUUACGUAAUACAAUAAAGGGGGUAAAUGUGGUGAUUAUCAACAGCAAAUACACAAUAACAAAGCAUAAUUGUACUGAACACCUGAAGGGUUUCUAAAAAGUGACGACUAGGCCUAAUUGCAACCCUGCUGUAACUUGAUUCCUACAGGUUUUCUAACACACUCUGAAACGAGCCUUUUCCCGUCAGGGUGAUGCAGGUCCAGCUCCUAUCUGCUGCAAGUUUUAUUUUAAGUCUUAGGGGAUGAGGUGACUUUCCAGGCAGGUUAUGAAACCCACUCUAAUAUAUUUUCAGCUGUUUCCCUGGUAAUCUUAUAUUUUGGGAGGUUUUGGCUCUGCUUUUUAUUUAAUGUUUUCCAGCUUGUAUGUGUCUAUGUCAGACAAUUUUAAGAAAGCAUAAGAGAAGAGUGCAAAGCCACCUUUAGACAACUGAACAGGUCACCCUGUCCUGCUGUAAAAAUAUAUUUGUCUUUCCAAGACAUGGUGAAAGGGCUUCAGAUGCUUGCUGAGCAAUGCAAUGGUCUAAUCAUGGUUGUGACUGGGCUACUGUUCGAAACAAAGACAUUUUGCAACAAAGAGCUCUGAAGUACUACUGCUAAUAAUAAAGUUUCAUAUUUGGAUCAAACACUAAACUGAGAGCUGGCUGGCUGAGAAAGGACCCUAACAGGAAUAUAUUACAUGUUGAAAUGCUUUUAUUUUUUUUUUUCCUGAGGAAUGAUCUAGGCAAAUAACUGUGUGGAAAGGUCUAUUUUGUUUCAUUUUGUUUGUUGUUUCAGAAUGAUCUCCAGGAUGAUUUGUUUCUAUUACAAGAAAAGAAAACAUAACUUGAGCCCUCUGAAGUCAAAUGAGAAUAUAAAAUAAAGUUUAGUUCUUUCUGGUUUGCGUAUUGGCAAUGACGAUUGAAAUAAUUGUUAACUAGAGUAUAGGGACCUAAUCUGAAUUCCUUUUUGUUUUUAAUGGUAAUUGGAUCAGGCAUUUAGUUAAUGAAUCUCCCAGUGAUGUAUAAGCUAAUGUAGCAUUUGCUGCAUAGCAAUAAAGAGAAUUUUUUGAUACACAGUUAGGAAAAUAGGAAUUUGAAUAUACCCAUUCAGAUGUACAUAGAUUAAAACCUACCUUAUAUGAUCACUUUUUUUGAAUAUUACCAAGCUUUCAGAAAUGUUACUGAAAUUUGCAAUUUUAUUUUUAUCAAUGACUGCAUUUGCUUCAUAGCUUCCCAUUUCCAUUUUGUUCAUUUUGGAGUUAUUGCACCAUUCUGAGUUCAUUUUCUGCUUUUUUUUUCUUGAUAAUCCACAUAAUCAUGCUUUCUUUGAUCUAGCUUCCAUAUAACUAUGCAUUGCUUGAUAUAUCCUUUCUGAUUUAUACUACAUUGUCAAUCAACCAAUAUUUAGAGUUCUUACUUCUACAGCUCAGCUCAGUGCCCUAGACCAGGCCCUGUGAAUCCAAGUCAGUGGUAUCUGUUAGUAUGGAGGAGAUUCUCUCUACUUGCAAGCUGCAUAGCAGCGGCCAACAAGUAAUAUGUACAAUGAAACCAUUGUGUUUUCAUUUCCAUGAUGAGAAAGACCUAACAGGACUUCCCUAAUUGCCUCCUGAUGUCACUGCUGUGGUAUCAAACUCAUCAGCAUGAGAUUACAUAUUUAUUUGUUGUGAAGUCUUCGUGUCUGCAAUGUUACAUCUAUGCUGGGAUGCAGGAGAAAGGCCCAAAUUCUUUGUAAUCCUGGUCCUCAGGCAGCAACAUCUUCACAUUUGGUGUUAUUUCUGUUUCAUCAGGUAAAAAGUCCAGAGCAGAAUAAAAGGAUCCAAUCAGACCAGUUAUAGAUGGUCUGCUGAAAACAAGUAUUUAUCUGUUCUGUAAAUCUGCUGAUUUAAAUCUGGUCCUAACAGCAAGGCUGUGUCUUACUUUGUAGGGAUACUGAUGGUAGCACCUGAGAGAGAUCUUUCAGACAAGCUAGAGAGGUAACUAGAUGAUACUCCCAUAGCAUUUCCAGCACUUGGAUUCACUCAGAAUCAGAAAACAGUGAAUGUUGCUUAAAGACACCUUCUUCCCUGUUCUCCUCGACUACAAGUUCAAUAGCACUUUGGUGGUGUGGGAGGAGGGAGAGACAGAGGAGGUGGGAGAAGAAGACGUAGUCAAUGAACGAUAAUGAAUUAAGAGGUGACUAUAGAACUAAAUAUUUUCACCCUGCAGCUUCAGCACUAUGGAAUGCUGUAGUUCAGUAGGGCUGUCCACUGGUGUAUUCUCCAGGGCUAUGUCAAGUAUGUUUGCUGCACAAAUAUGUAAUUGUCCUUCCUGUACUUUAUUUAACAAAAGCAAUGAACUGAAAUGUCAGUCUAGGAGGCCGUAGCUAGAGAAGUCUGAAAGGAAAGUUGAAGGAGAAUUAAUAGUUUCACAGCUCUCUCUGAGACUUAAUUCCCAACAAUAUUAUAAUAUUUGAAAAAUAAAUAUUCUUUUUUCCUUGUACUACUUAUUUUUAUCUCUAGUCAAAAUUGUCUGUAAUAUAAAAUGGAAUAUUUCAUUGCUUAGUAGAAGAAUAAUUCAUUCUUGCCUGCUAUCUUCACUUUAUGAUUUCUUUGAAGCAAUUUUCCAUCAUUUUACAUCAUUUCUUUAGAAAGAUGCUGGAUAUUGUUUUCUUUUAAUUAUUCAGUUUUUGUUAUUUUUUUCCCACAGUCUUUCUAAUUUCUCUGUUCCAGUUCUUUAAAAAUUAUUUUUCUUUAUUUCACCAACAUUUAUUUUUCUGACUUUCUUAUCUCUUGGUUAUCAUUUUGAUUCUUUAACUAUGUUGCUAGAGAUAGUCUUUUGUUAGUUUUAUCAUGGAUAAUGCAUUUUGUCAAAAUAUGCUUUCAAAUAAAGCCUAAACUGUACAA